AAGAAAUUUAAUAAUUUUGAAAAUGGAUUUUUUUUUUGUUUUGGCAAGAGCAUGAGAGCUUUUACUGGGCAAGAAGACAAGAGAUGGAGAGUCCAGCCGGGCCUGCGCUUAAGUGCGCGGUCUUGCUAGGCUUGUAAGUUUCUUUCUUGCUAUUCCAAACGGUGAGAGAUUUCUGUGCUUUUGUUAUAGGACAAUUAAAACCGUUUCAAUACAACACACUGUGGAGUUUUCAUAUCUUUGCAACUUUUUCUUUGGGCAUUCGAGCAAUCGGGGCCCAGAGGUUAACAAACACAAACAAUUUUAUCUAUUCAUUAAAUUUUUGUCAAAAACAAGAAUUUUCGUAACUGGAAAUUUUAAAAUAUUAAAAACUUUCAACAACGGAUCUCUUGGUUCUCGCAUCGAUGAAGAACGCAGCGAAAUGCGAUACGUAAUGUGAAUUGCAGAAUUCCGUGAAUCAUCGAAUCUUUGAACGCACAUUGCGCCCCUUGGUAUUCCAGGGGGCAUGCCUGUUUGAGCGUCAUUUCCUUCUCAAACAUUCUGUUUGGUAGUGAGUGAUACUCUUUGGAGUUAACUUGAAAUUGCUGGCCUUUUCAUUGGAUGUUUUUUUUCCAAAGAGAGGUUUCUCUGCGUGCUUGAGGUAUAAUGCAAGUACGGUCGUUUUAGGUUUUACCAACUGCGGCUAAUCUUUUUUUAUACUGAGCGUAUUGGAACGUUAUCGAUAAGAAGAGAGCGUCUAGGCGAACAAUGUUCUUAAAGU
rnacentral:misc_RNA from 1 species